rnacentral:rRNA from 1 species
AUUGAACGCUGGCGGCAUGCCUUACACAUGCAAGUCGAACGGCAGCAUGGAGAGCUUGCUCUCUGAUGGCGAGUGGCGAACGGGUGAGUAAUGCAUCGGAACGUACCGUGUAAUGGGGGAUAACGUAGCGAAAGUUACGCUAAUACCGCAUACGACCUGAGGGUGAAAGCAGGGGAUCGCAAGACCUUGCGUUAUACGAGCGGCCGAUGUCAGAUUAGCUAGUUGGUGAGGUAAAGGCUCACCAAGGCGACGAUCUGUGGCGGGUGUGAGAGGGUGAUCCGCCACCCUGGGACUGAGACACGGCCAAGACUCAUACGGGGGGCAGCAGUGGGGAAUUUUGGACAAGGGGGGCAACCCUGAUGCAGCCAUGCCGCGUGAGGGAAGAAGGCCUUCGGGUUGUAAAGCGCUUUCGGCCGGGAAGAAAUCGCACAGGCUAAUACUCUGUGUGGAUGACGGUACCGGCAUAAGAAGCACCGGCUAACUACGUGCCAGCAGCCGCCGUAA